rnacentral:lncRNA from 1 species
UUUUUUUUUCUUUUUUUUUUCUUUUUUUUUGUUGCACAAAAAUAUUACUAUUGUAGUUAUUAUAGAGAGUGUGCAUGGUUUCCAAUACUUACGUCGUUUAUGGAAUGCUUUUUUAUUGAGUUGGAAUCCCUUCUAAGGGAAUAAAUUUGAAUGAAGGGACAACACAUAGGAGAAAAUAUAUGGGGAAUCUAACUACAUAGUAAAGUAAUGUGUGAAAAACCGGUAAAGGAUUAGUGCAUGAUCGAUAAUCUCAUUCAUGCAUAC